rnacentral:lncRNA from 1 species
GACUGAGUAGUAAUCCACUGCAUGAACAUACCAUGAUUUGCUUAUCUAUUACUCUCUUAAUGAACACUUGGAUUGCUUUCUAAAUUUGGUUUUCAUGUACAAAACUGUAUGAAUAUUGCUAUAAAAGGCUUUUUAUGGAUGCAUACUUGGAUAAAUACUUUGAAGUGAAAUUAAUGGAAGAUAAGGCAGAUAUAUGUUUAUAGUCUUAAGAAUUUGCCAGUUUUUAAAAGUGUUUGUACUAUAUUUAUGUAGUACAUUGUCUUGAUUACCUCACCAAGUUGCUGAGGCUUGCUUUGAACUUGAGAUUCUCCUGCCACAGCCUCUUGAGCGACUGAAAUUGCAGGUGUGUGCCACCAUGCCU